CCCAAGAGCCUGGCCUUGGAGCUGGAGGACAUGUCGGGAGAGGAGGUCGAUAGUGGUGAAACGUUGCAAAAGCUGAAGAAGUCGCUGCUGGAGCAGCAGGACGUGAACAAGCAGCUGCGCACGUACAUCGACGGCAUCCUGCUCAG